UAGGGAAUAUUGGGCAAUGGGUGCAAGCCUGACCCAGCCAUGCCGCGUGCCGGAAGACGGCCCUAUGGGUUGUAAACGGCUUUUAUACAGGAACAAAAACAGGGAUGCGUCCUUGACUGAGGGUACUGUAUGAAUCAGCACCGGCUAACUCCGUGCCAGCAGCCGCGGUAAUACGGAGGGUGCAAGCGUUGUUCGGAAUUACUGGGCGUAAAGCGCGCGUAGGCGGACUAUUAAGUCAGGGGUGAAAUCCCGGGGCUCAACCCCGGAACUGCCUUUGAUACUGGUAGUCUUGAGUUCGAGAGAGGUGAGUGGAAUUCCGAGUGUAGAGGUGAAAUUCGUAGAUAUUCGGAGGAACACCAGUGGCGAAGGCGGCUCACUGGCUCGAUACUGACGCUGAGGUGCGAAAGUGUGGGGAGCAAACAGGAUUAGAUACCCCCGUAGUCC
rnacentral:rRNA from 1 species